rnacentral:misc_RNA from 1 species
GAUGAAGACGUAGCGAAAUGCGAUAAGUAGUGUGAAUUGCAGAAUUCAGUGAAUCAUCGAAUCUUUGAACGCACAUUGCGCCCUUUGGUAUUCCAAAGGGCAUGCCUGUUCGAGCGUCAUUUGUACCCUCAAGCUUUGCUUGGUGUUGGGCGUCUUGUCUCUAGCUUUGCUGGAGACUCGCCUUAAAGUAAUUGGCAGCCGGCCUACUGGUUUCGGAGCGCAGCACAAGUCGCACUCUCUAUCAGCAAAGGUCUAGCAUCCAUUAAGCCUUUUUUUCAACUUUUGACCUCGGAUCAGGUAGGGAUACCCGCUGAACUUAAGCAUAUCAAUAAGCGGAGGA